rnacentral:rRNA from 1 species
AACGCGAAGAACCUUACCUGGUCUUGACAUCCACAGAACCUUGUAGAGAUACGAGGGUGCCUUCGGGAACUGUGAGACAGGUGCUGCAUGGCUGUCGUCAGCUCGUGUUGUGAAAUGUUGGGUUAAGUCCCGCAACGAGCGCAACCCUUAUCCUUUGUUGCCAGCGGUCCGGCCGGGAACUCAAAGGAGACUGCCAGUGAUAAACUGGAGGAAGGUGAGGAUGACGUCAAGUCAUCAUGGCCCUUACGACCAGGGCUAUACACGUGCUACAAUGGCGCAUACAAAGAGAAGCGACCUCGCGAGAGCAAGCGGACCUCAUAAAGUGCGUCGUAGUCCGGAUUGGAGUCUGCAACUCGACUCCAUGAAGUCGGAAUCGCUAGUAAUCGUGGAUCAGAAUGCCACGGUGAAUACGUUCCCGGGUCUUGUACACACGC